AGCAGCCGCGGUAAUUCCAGCUCCAAUAGCGUAUAUUAAAGUUGUUGCAGUUAAAAAGCUCGUAGUUGAAUUUCGGGAUUAGUGCGCCGGUCGUGCCUUCGGUAUGUACUGGUGUUACUGGUUCCUACCUUCUGACGAACCGUCAUGUCAUUAAUUUGGUGUGGCGGGGAAUCAGGACUGUUACUUUGAAAAAAUUAGAGUGUUUAAAGCAGGCUCGCGCUUGAAUACAUUAGCAUGGAAUAAUGAAAUAGGACGUUCGAUCCUAUUUUGUUGGUUUCUAGGAUUGACGUAAUGAUUAAUAGGGAUAGUUGGGGGCAUUAGUAUUCAAUUGUCAGAGGUGAAAUUCUUGGAUUUAUUGAAGACUAACUACUGCGAAAGCAUUUGCCAAGGAUGUUUUCAUUAAUCAAGAACGAAAGUUAGGGGAUCGAAGACGAUCAGAUACCGUCGUAGUCUUAACCAUAAACUAUGCCGACUAGGGAUCGGAUGAUGUUAUUUUUAAUGACUCAUUCGGCGCCUUAAC
rnacentral:rRNA from 1 species